rnacentral:rRNA from 1 species
UUGGAGGGCAAGUCUGGUGCCAGCAGCCGCGGUAAUUCCAGCUCCAAUAGCGUAUAUUAAAGUUGUUGCAGUUAAAAAGCUCGUAGUUGAAUUUCGGGAUCAAUAUGUCGGUCGUGCCAUCGGUACGUACUGGUAUCAUUGGUCUCUCCUUUCUGACGAACCAUGAUGUCAUUAAUUUGGUGUUAUGGGGAGUUAGGACUGUUACUUUGAAAAAAUUAGAGUGUUUAAAGCAGGCAUUAGCUUGAAUACAUUAGCAUGGAAUAAUGAAAUAGGACGUUCGAACCUAUUUUGUUGGUUUCUAGGAUCAACGUAAUGAUUAAUAGGGAUAGUUGGGGGCAUUAGUAUUCAAUUGUCAGAGGUGAAAUUCUUGGAUUUAUUGAAGACUAACUACUGCGAAAGCAUUUGCCAAGGAUGUUUUCAUUAAUCAAGAACGAAAGUUAGGGGAUCGAAGACGAUCAGAUACCGUCGUAGUCUUAACCAUAAACUAUGCCGACUAGGGAUCGGAUGAUGUUAAUUUUUUAAUGACUCAUUCGGCGCCUUACGGGAAAC